GGUUAAGCGACUAAGCGUACACGGUGGAUGCCCUGGCAGUCAGAGGCGAUGAAGGACGUGCUAAUCUGCGAUAAGCGUCGGUAAGGUGAUAUGAACCGUUAUAACCGGCGAUUUCCGAAUGGGGAAACCCAGUGUGAUUCGUCACACUAUCAUUAACUGAAUCCAUAGGUUAAUGAGGCGAACCGGGGAACUGAAACAUCUAAGUACCCCGAGGAAAAGAAAUCAACCGAGAUUCCCCAGUAGCGGCGAGCGAACGGGGAGCAGCCCAGAGCCUGAAUCAGUGUGUGUGUUAGUGGAAGCGUCUGGAAAGGCGCGCGAUACAGGGUGACAGCCCCGUACACAAAAAUGCACAUACUGUGAGCUCGAUGAGUAGGGCGGGACACGUGGUAUCCUGUCUGAAUAUGGGGGACCAUCCUCCAAGGCUAAAUACUCCUGACUGACCGAUAGUGAACCAGUACCGUGAGGGAAAGGCGAAAAGAACCCCGGCGAGGGAGUGAAAAAGAACCUGAAACCGUGUACGUACAAGCAGUGGGAGCCUCUUUAUGGGGUGACUGCGUACCUUUUGUAUAAUGGGUCAGCGACUUAUAUUCUGUAGCAAGGUUAACCGAAUAGGGGAGCCGAAGGGAAACCGAGUCUUAACUGGGCGUUAAGUUGCAGGGUAUAGACCCGAAACCCGGUGAUCUAGCCAUGGGCAGGUUGAAGGUUGGGUAACACUAACUGGAGGACCGAACCGACUAAUGUUGAAAAAUUAGCGGAUGACUUGUGGCUGGGGGUGAAAGGCCAAUCAAACCGGGAGAUAGCUGGUUCUCCCCGAAAGCUAUUUAGGUAGCGCCUCGUGAAUUCAUCUCCGGGGUAGAGCACUGUUUCGGCAAGGGGUCAUCCCGACUUACCAACCCGAUGCAAACUGCGAAUACCGGAGAAUGUUAUCACGGGAGACACACGGCGGGUGCUAACGUCCGUCGUGAAGAGGGAAACAACCCAGACCGCCAGCUAAGGUCCCAAAGUCAUGGUUAAGUGGGAAACGAUGUGGGAAGGCCCAGACAGCCAGGAUGUUGGCUUAGAAGCAGCCAUCAUUUAAAGAAAGCGUAAUAGCUCACUGGUCGAGUCGGCCUGCGCGGAAGAUGUAACGGGGCUAAACCAUGCACCGAAGCUGCGGCAGCGACGCUUAUGCGUUGUUGGGUAGGGGAGCGUUCUGUAAGCCUGUGAAGGUGUGCUGUGAGGCAUGCUGGAGGUAUCAGAAGUGCGAAUGCUGACAUAAGUAACGAUAAAGCGGGUGAAAAGCCCGCUCGCCGGAAGACCAAGGGUUCCUGUCCAACGUUAAUCGGGGCAGGGUGAGUCGACCCCUAAGGCGAGGCCGAAAGGCGUAGUCGAUGGGAAACAGGUUAAUAUUCCUGUACUUGGUGUUACUGCGAAGGGGGACGGAGAAGGCUAUGUUGGCCGGGCGACGGUUGUCCCGGUUUAAGCGUGUAGGCUGGUUUUCCAGGCAAAUCCGGAAAAUCAAGGCUGAGGCGUGAUGACGAGGCACUACGGUGCUGAAGCAACAAAUGCCCUGCUUCCAGGAAAAGCCUCUAAGCAUCAGGUAACAUCAAAUCGUACCCCAAACCGACACAGGUGGUCAGGUAGAGAAUACCAAGGCGCUUGAGAGAACUCGGGUGAAGGAACUAGGCAAAAUGGUGCCGUAACUUCGGGAGAAGGCACGCUGAUAUGUAGGUGAAGUCCCUCGCGGAUGGAGCUGAAAUCAGUCGAAGAUACCAGCUGGCUGCAACUGUUUAUUAAAAACACAGCACUGUGCAAACACGAAAGUGGACGUAUACGGUGUGACGCCUGCCCGGUGCCGGAAGGUUAAUUGAUGGGGUUAGCGGUAACGCGAAGCUCUUGAUCGAAGCCCCGGUAAACGGCGGCCGUAACUAUAACGGUCCUAAGGUAGCGAAAUUCCUUGUCGGGUAAGUUCCGACCUGCACGAAUGGCGUAAUGAUGGCCAGGCUGUCUCCACCCGAGACUCAGUGAAAUUGAACUCGCUGUGAAGAUGCAGUGUACCCGCGGCAAGACGGAAAGACCCCGUGAACCUUUACUAUAGCUUGACACUGAACAUUGAGCCUUGAUGUGUAGGAUAGGUGGGAGGCUUUGAAGUGUGGACGCCAGUCUGCAUGGAGCCGACCUUGAAAUACCACCCUUUAAUGUUUGAUGUUCUAACGUUGGCCCCUGAUCGGGGUUGCGGACAGUGUCUGGUGGGUAGUUUGACUGGGGCGGUCUCCUCCUAAAGAGUAACGGAGGAGCACGAAGGUUGGCUAAUCCUGGUCGGACAUCAGGAGGUUAGUGCAAUGGCAUAAGCCAGCUUGACUGCGAGCGUGACGGCGCGAGCAGGUGCGAAAGCAGGUCAUAGUGAUCCGGUGGUUCUGAAUGGAAGGGCCAUCGCUCAACGGAUAAAAGGUACUCCGGGGAUAACAGGCUGAUACCGCCCAAGAGUUCAUAUCGACGGCGGUGUUUGGCACCUCGAUGUCGGCUCAUCACAUCCUGGGGCUGAAGUAGGUCCCAAGGGUAUGGCUGUUCGCCAUUUAAAGUGGUACGCGAGCUGGGUUUAGAACGUCGUGAGACAGUUCGGUCCCUAUCUCGCCGUGGGCGCUGGAGAACUGAGGGGGCUGCUCCUAGUACGAGAGGACCGGAGUGGACGCAUCACUGGUGUUCGGGUUGUCAUGCCAAUGGCACUGCCCGGUAGCUAAAUGCGGAAGAGAUAAGUGCUGAAAGCAUCUAAGCACGAAACUUGCCCCGAGAUGAGUUCUCCCUGACUCCUUGAGAGUCCUGAAGGAACGUUGAAGACGACGACGUUGAUAGGCCGGGUGUGUAAGCGCAGCGAUGCGUUGAGCUAACCGGUACUAAUGAACCGUGAGGCUUAACCUU
rnacentral:rRNA from 1 species